rnacentral:rRNA from 1 species
AGUGGCGAACGGGUGAGUAAUACAUCGGAACGUGUCCUGUUGUGGGGGAUAACUACUCGAAAGAGUAGCUAAUACCGCAUAAGACCUAAGGGUGAAAGCGGGGGACCUUCGGGCCUCGCGCAGUUGGAGCGGCCGAUGACUGAUUAGCUAGUUGGUGGGGUAAAGGCCUACCAAGGCGACGAUCAGUAGCUGGUCUGAGAGGACGACCAGCCACAUUGGGACUGAGACACGGCCCAAACUCCUACGGGAGGCAGCAGUGGGGAAUUUUGGACAAUGGGGGCAACCCUGAUCCAGCCAUGCCGCGUGCGGGAAGAAGGCCUUCGGGUUGUAAACCGCUUUUGUUAGGAACGAAAAGGUAUCUGUGAACAACAGGUAUUGCUGACGGUACCUAAAGAAUAAGCACCGGCUAACUACGUGCCAGCAGCCGCGGUAAUACGUAGGGUGCGAGCGUUAAUCGGAAUUACUGGGCGUAAAGCGUGCGCAGGCGGUUGGGUAAGACAGGUGUGAAAUCCCCGAGCUUAACUUGGGAACUGCACUUGUGACUGCUCAACUAGAGUAUGUCAGAGGGAGGUGGAAUUCCAAGUGUAGCAGUGAAAUGCGUAGAUAUUUGGAAGAACACCGAUGGCGAAGGCAGCCUCCUGGGAUAAUACUGACGCUCAUGCACGAAAGCGUGGGGAGCAAACAGGAUUAGAUACCCUGGUAGUCCACGCCCUAAACGAUGUCAACUAGUUGUUGGGCCGCAUGGCUUAGUAACACAGCUAACGCGAGAAGUUGACCGCCUGGGGAGUACGGUCGCAAGAUUAAAACUCA